AAAUUGAAGAGUUUGAUCAUGGCUCAGAUUGAACGCUGGCGGCAGGCCUAACACAUGCAAGUCGAACGGUAACAGGAAGCAGCUUGCUGUUUCGCUGACGAGUGGCGGACGGGUGAGUAAUGUCUGGGAAACUGCCUGAUGGAGGGGGAUAACUACUGGAAACGGUAGCUAAUACCGCAUAACGUCGCAAGACCAAAGAGGGGG
rnacentral:rRNA from 2 species